rnacentral:rRNA from 1 species
GUAGGUGGCAAGCGUUGUCCGGAAUUAUUGGGCGUAAAGCGCGCGCAGGCGGUUCUUUAAGUCUGAUGUGAAAGCCCACGGCUCAACCGUGGAGGGUCAUUGGAAACUGGAGAACUUGAGUACAGAAGAGGAAAGCGGAAUUCCACGUGUAGCGGUGAAAUGCGUAGAGAUGUGGAGGAACACCAGUGGCGAAGGCGGCUUUCUGGUCUGUAACUGACGCUGAGGCGCGAAAGCGUGGGGGAGCAAACAGGAUUAGAUACCCUGGUAGUCCACGCCGUAAACGAUGAGUGCUAAGUGUUAGGGGGUUUCCGCCCCUUAGUGCUGCAGUUAACGCAUUAAGCACUCCGCCUGGGAGUACGGCCGCAAGGCUG